rnacentral:snoRNA from 1 species
CUUGCACCUUCAAGGCUGAAAUUCCUCCACUGAUUCAAACCCUCCCUUAGGGUUGACCUUCUUCUAAAAAAGAGUCGCUGGCCUUGCCUCCAUUGCUGCUGCUGUCCCCAGUUCCCAGCAGCUGCCUGCAGGGAGGCCCACAGGUGGGAACCAAAGUAGGGCUAGGCACGGGCCAUCUGAGCGCAACCUUGAAUCUGACA